AACAGCAGCGGCGGCGGCGGUGACAGGACAGCGACACAAAGAGAGAGAGAGAGAGAGAGAGAGAGAGAGAGAGAGAGAGAGAGAGAGAGAGAGAGACAGACAGUUAACUGGCGCCUGUCCCUCAUGCAUUAAACAUCCGUCGGUGCAGCAGCAGCAGCAGCAGACACUCUCUACACGUAGCCUCCUUUUUCCAGCCGUGUGAUUUGGCGAGAUAUCCAGCUCUGGUAUAGUAUAGACUGGAGUCGAAUGCCGUAGUUUCGCCGAGAGAGAUGGAUCCCUUUGAAGUUCGCGACUCUAUCAGCGCUUCCGACUGCACGAUUGCUGCUGGUAAUUCAACGACUGCUACACACGCGAUGUGUACGAAGCUUUGAAGAAGACGCCGGGGCUGUUGGAUACCCGUCUUUGUCUAUUGUUCACUUGGAAAAUACGAAAGCUUUAUUGGCGCGCACAUACGUAUACGAGAGUGCGAGCCUACGGACUGAUCGAUAAUAUCCGUGGGGGUAUGUGUGUACAGAUGAACGAGUGAGUUCAGCUUUAUCGAAAGCUAAUGCAGAGGACUGAAGCUCGAUUGUUAGAUAAUGUAUUAGGUGUGCGUGCGAUAGUAAGGCUUGGAUCCUCCUCUUGUAAAAAAAGUGAUGGGCUUUGUUGUGAAGCAUUUAAUUGAAGUCUAGUCGCCUGGUACAAGAAUUUAGAAACGCGAAUUUUUAUACAUAACCUACAAACGCUUCAAACUGUCAGUGCUCAGUAGGCAACAAAAUUAAAAAUUAUUCUGCAAAAAUAUAAUUGAUAAUACGAUAAGGAGUGCGCGAAGCACACCAAGAUUUCCUAGUCAAGGAAGUACGCGCUGGACGAUAAGUCGGGACAAAAUAGCCGUUGUCGUCGUUCAGCCCGCGAGGAGGAUAAAGAGCGAAGGCCGCUUUCUUGCUUGAUAUCAACAGGGAGAGGAAGUAUACAUAGCAGCAACUUCAGCCAUAAACGAUUGAUCGAAUACAGUAGCUUGUGGACAUUGCAAAUGGACGAGUCUCUUAUUCUUGGACACUAUUCUUCAGCCUAUGUGGGAAUUGAAUAUCACAUCGUUGAAUAAUUACUAACGCGUUCACGGAAGACCUAUACUGAUCAGCAUAGGGUGAUGGUGCUGAAACCGAGUGUUUAUCUUGUUUUGUGCAUCGAUUCACUGAUGAAGUGGAUGCCAAGUGUAUAGGAGAUAAAAUAAAGACUAUAGAGACUAGAGA